CAGUCGCCACGGUAAUACGUAGGGUGCAAGCGUUAAUCGGAAUUACUGGGCGUAAAGCGUGCGCAGGCGGUUUGUUAAGACAGAUGUGAAAUCCCCGGGCUCAACCUGGGAACUGCAUUUGUGACUGGCAAGCUAGAGUGUGGCAGAGGGGGGUGGAAUUCCGCGUGUAGCAGUGAAAUGCGUAGAGAUCGGGAGGAACAUCAGUGGCGAAGGCGGCCAUCUGGGACAACACUGACGCUGAGGCACGAAAGCGUGGGGAGCAAACAGGAUUAGAUACCCGCGUAGUCCCUGUCUCUUAUAC
rnacentral:rRNA from 1 species